rnacentral:misc_RNA from 1 species
GAUGGAAGAACGCAGCGAAAUGCGAUAAGUAAUGUGAAUUGCAGAAUUCAGUGAAUCAUCGAAUCUUUGAACGCACAUUGCGCCCGCCAGCACUCUGGCGGGCAUGCCUGUUCGAGCGUCAUUUCAACCAUCAAGCCCCCAGGGGCUUGUGCUGGGGCCCUGCGGCUGCCCGCAGGCCCUGAAAACCAGUGGCGGGCUCGCUAGUCACACCGAGCGCAGUAGCACAUCUCGCUCAGGGCGUGCGGCGGGCUCCUGCCGUGAAACCCCCCACUGUAACCCCAAAGGUUGACCUCGGAUCAGGUAGGAAUACCCGCUGAACUUAAGCAUAUCAAUAAGCGGAGGA